CAGCAGCCGCGGUAAAACGAAGGGUGCAAGCGUUAAUCGGAAUUACUGGGCGUAAAGCGUGCGUAGGCGGUGAGUUAAGUCUGCUGUGAAAUCCCCGGGCUCAACCUGGGAAUGGCAGUGGAUACUGGCUCGCUAGAGUGUGUCAGAGGAUGGUGGAAUUCCCGGUGUAGCGGUGAAAUGCGUAGAGAUCGGGAGGAACAUCAGUGGCGAAGGCGGCCAUCUGGGACAACACUGACGCUGAGGCACGAAAGCGUGGGGAGCAAACAGGAUUAGAUACCCCCGUAGUCCCUGUCUCUUAUAU
rnacentral:rRNA from 1 species